rnacentral:rRNA from 1 species
AUACAUGCAAGUCGAACGCUUUUUCUUUCACCGGAGCUUGCUCCACCGAAAGAAAAGGAGUGGCGAACGGGUGAGUAACACGUGGGUAACCUGCCCAUCAGAAGGGGAUAACACUUGGAAACAGGUGCUAAUACCGUAUAACAAUCGAAACCGCAUGGUUUCGGUUUGAAAGGCGCUUUUGCGUCACUGAUGGAUGGACCCGCGGUGCAUUAGCUAGUUGGUGAGGUAACGGCUCACCAAGGCAACGAUGCAUAGCCGACCUGAGAGGGUGAUCGGCCACAUUGGGACUGAGACACGGCCCAAACUCCUACGGGAGGCAGCAGUAGGGAAUCUUCGGCAAUGGACGCAAGUCUGACCGAGCAACGCCGCGUGAGUGAAGAAGGUUUUCGGAUCGUAAAACUCUGUUGUUAGAGAAGAACAAGGAUGAGAGUAGAAUGUUCAUCCCUUGACGGUAUCUAACCAGAAAGCCACGGCUAACUACGUGCCAGCAGCCGCGGUAAUACGUAGGUGGCAAGCGUUGUCCGGAUUUAUUGGGCGUAAAGCGAGCGCAGGCGGUUUCUUAAGUCUGAUGUGAAAGCCCCCGGCUCAACCGGGGAGGGUCAUUGGAAACUGGGAAACUUGAGUGCAGAAGAGGAGAGUGGAAUUCCAUGUGUAGCGGUGAAAUGCGUAGAUAUAUGGAGGAACACCAGUGGCGAAGGCGGCU